GUAGGGAAUAUUGGGCAAUGGUCGGAAGACUGACCCAGCCAUGCCGCGUGCAGGAAGACGGCCCUCUGGGUUGUAAACUGCUUUUAUCUGGGAAGAAAAAGGCCAUGCGUGGCAAAUUGCCGGUACCAGAUGAAUAAGCACCGGCUAACUCCGUGCCAGCAGCCGCGGUAAUACGGAGGGUGCGAGCGUUGUCCGGAUUUAUUGGGUUUAAAGGGUGCGUAGGCGGCUGAUUAAGUCAGCGGUGAAAGACUUCGGCUUAACCGGAGCAGUGCAGUUGAUACUGGUUGGCUUGAGUGUCGGAGGGGUACAUGGAAUUGAUGGUGUAGCGGUGAAAUGCAUAGAUACCAUCAGGAACACCGAUAGCGAAGGCAGUGUACUGGCCGACAACUGACGCUGAUGCACGAAAGUGUGGGGAUCGAACAGGAUUAGAUACCCGAGUAGUCC
rnacentral:rRNA from 1 species